GGCAGAGGAGGCGCCGAGAGCUGCCAGUACGCUGUCACCUCUCAAUUGUCCCCUGCUAGAAUAACAGAGUAAUUGAUAAUCAUGGCCAUAAGAGGGGUGGGGGGGCAGAGUCAGGAAUUUCUGCACUAUGUGGCACAAGGAGAAUAGUUAUUUUAUGGAAAUAAUGUAUAGUACACUACUAUACAUUAGUAGUGAUGUGUCUGCUCCCCCUUUGCCUUCUUCUAUGAUUGGAAGCUCCCUGAGGCCUCUCCAGAAGCAGAUGCCAGCACCAUGCUUCCUGUAAAGCCUGCAGAACCAUGAGCCAAUUCUUCUUUUCUUGUCUUGCUGCUGCUCCCUCUUUGGGUCCGCACUGCCUUUAUGAGCUGUAACAGUCACCGCGAAGGUCUGCAGCUUCAAUCCUGAGGCCAGCGAGACCACGAACCCACCAGGAGGAAUGAACAACUCCGGAUGGGAGGAACGAACAACUCCGGAUGGGAGGAACGAACAACUCCAGACGCGCGCCGCUUUAAGAGCUGUAACAUUCACUGCGAAGGUCUGCAGCUUCACUCCUGAAGCCAGCGAGACCAUGAACCCACCAGAAGGAAGAAACUCCGAACACGUCCGAACAUCAGAAGGAACAAACUCCAGACACACCAUCUUUAAGAACUGUAAUACUCACCGCGAGGUUCGGCAGCUUCAGUCUUGAAGUCAAUGAGUCCAAGAACCCACCAAUUCUGGACACAGUAGGAUAGUGUGUUAUGAAGAUGUAUUUAUUAGGAGGUAAGCCUCCUCGAAAAAAUCAAAAGACCUUUGUUGCACCAAAUUCCUUGCUAUAAUGAUUCCUGUUAGAGUGAAACGCCUAUUUGCUUCCAGAGUAUAAAUUUCAUUCCAAUUGGAGGAAAAGGCUUAAAUGACUUCAAGAAACACAUUGUAAAUUUGCCACCUCUUUUGCAUUUUCCUGAGAUAUUUUCCUCAAGGAAUUGACGUGCAAAUCACCAAGGUCUACAUAUUUUUCCCAUUACCUACAAAAGUAGUGACUAUACCAAUUAGAAAUUUUGUUCACUAGUAAAAAAUCAAUAAGAGUACACUGCUUGGACACUUACAUAAGAAGUUAUAAUUUUUUUUUCUUUCUGAAUCAUUUCUCCUAAGCCGUUUUCUACUGACAGGAGUCUGUCUCUUCACAUUAGUGACAGGAAGAAAUAAUUAAGUGUAAGUUGUCACUUGUGAUCGGAAGAUCCAUGAAGUAAAAGUGAACUAAGUGGGGCAGAUGAAAUCCUGGCUGUCCUCUCUACAUCUGCUGAAAUAGACUUAGGAAUCAUCUCUGAAACAUUCCCACUUCUAAUUUCCAGAAUUUAUGUGGAUUACAAAUGAGAAUAAUCUAGAUUUUUCUUGUAGAAUCUUGAAGAGGCAUUCUUUAUUUUUAAUCACUUACCCUUAGGAAUAUCCUCAGAAUGUGCCUGAAAUUAGGACAAAUCUAUGUAUUAUAGUUAGAGUGAAAUAUUAGUAAUUGUUUAAUGUCACUACGCCUAACUUAACUGUUAGUGUGAAUUUUGAGUGGAUAAAUAAGGAAUAUUUAUUGCUCUCAUUGUUCAUUCAUUCAACAAGCAUUUAGUGAAUACCUUCCAUAUACCAGAGAUUUUUCAAGUAAUUGAGAAAAUAAAGAUAAUUAAGAUAGUUCACCUCAAGUUUCUCCCAGUUUAGAAGAAGAUAAAUUAGAAAAUUGAUGGUUAGAAUAUAGCAUGGUCAGAGCUAUGGGAAAAGAGAAUAUCAUAUGAGACUGGUGAACAGACAUGAGGAUGCAAUGCUUGUUCUUGGUCUGGAAGGAUACUUUGGAGCUAUUUAGGAGACUAAUGAUGGAAGACUUUGCUGGGUUGGGUAAAAUGUAGCAACUGCAAUAAUAGAGAAAAUUGCAGAAAAAAGGCCAGUGUCUGUCUAUUCUGGCUGCUGUAACAAAAAUACCCUAGACUGGAUGGCUUAUAAACAACAGAAAUUUAUUUCUCAUAUCUCUAGAUCCUGGAAUGUUCAAGAUUAAGGUGCUGGCUGAUUUAGUGUCUUUUGAGGGCCUGUUUCUUGUUGCUUCGUGGGAUGGUGUAAGGAACAAAGCAACUUUCUGGGCCAUCUUUUAUAAAGGCACUAAUACCAUGCACAAGGGCUCUGCACUUACGAUCUAAUCACCUACCAGAGGCCCCACCUCCUGAUAUCAUCACCUUGAGAGCGAGGAUCUCAACAUAUAAAUUUUAGGAGAACACAAAUAGACCAUAGUCACCAACAACUGCAAAGUCAAGUAGAUAUGAGGCUGCACCUCUGGGGAGCAGCAAGUAAUGUGGUCUAGCUGGGGAGAAGGGUAAGGAAGGAAUAAUGUAGGAGGUGAGCCUGAAGAAAGAGAGGCAAUGGUCAGAUCAUAAAGCCUCAAAUGCUUCCCUGAGAAGUUUGCAUUUUAUUCUGAAGAUUAUAGGAGGGCACUGUAGAUUUCCAAACAUGGCUAGUUUUGUAUUUUACAAGGAUUACUCUGGUAUUAAGAUAUUAGCAAGACUGGGGAUAAGGGACCAGUUAAGAAGAGAAAAAGAAGGAAUGAAGAUGCCCUCCCUUCAUCUCCAUCUUUUUAAUGGAAAGAUGGUUGUGCUUCUACCUGAAAAUGGAAAUAAUGAGAAGAAGCGACUUUCUUCUUUGGGAGGUGGAGGAUGAAGAGAAAGGCCAAGUUCAAUGUCACUGAAAACAGGACAGAAGGCUCUGAGCUAUGUGCUCUGCUAAGUGGAACUAUUUUGUUUACAUGCACCAACGCCCCAUUUGCAGAGAACCACGACGUAAUCAGUGCAAGAUACACAAAGAUCAUUUAUAGGAGUGGGGUGUGAGUAAUUUUGCAACCCUGCCGUAUAUACACACAGUCAGAUUGACUGUAGAUUCUAUCCCUAUUAUUUAAUAAAGGGAAGCAGUUAUUACACUAAUUUGUAUCUUGUGGCUACUCAGUGCAACCCUGGACUGACUGUAUUCCUAAGAAAAGGUAAGGAAUGGAGGUAAAAUAUAUUUAAUUAAAUCUACCUAUUUAAAUUGCUCUUGUUUACAUAAACUUCAAAAUAGGCAUUUGGGGGCAUAUUCUAAAUAGAAUCCCUAUGGAUCAGGGGUUCCCAAACUUUUAGUCCACAGCACCCUUAGAAUU
rnacentral:lncRNA from 1 species